rnacentral:misc_RNA from 1 species
GAUGAUAACCUUAGCAGGUCAGUUGAAGUUUACAUGUUAUUUUUUAUCAAUAUUUCAGGAACUGUGAAGUUUACUCUGUUUUGACCUCUUAUUGGGUGUUUAUUAUGCUGUUUUACCAAUGAAAUAACCCAUAGUAGCAUGUUAUUUAAUGAAAUAGAAUCUGUUGAAUUCAUUGCUGACAUAAGUGGACUGUGCUUGGUUUCUGAAAAUAGGUGGUGGAUUUUAGUUCUUCCAAAUAACAAAAGAUAGGAAACCAGUUUUAGGUUUAAACAAAUGCUAUGAACUCCCUAUUUUAUGUCUUGCUGGUGUUUUAUCUUAAUUGAGGGGCAGCUUGAUAAUUUAAUUGUUAUUUAUCUGCACCAUUCUUGAUUUACUUUUUCUUAUUUCUCUUGAUUGCAGGCUUCUUUCAGAGUACUUA